rnacentral:misc_RNA from 1 species
GGGGAGCCAUGGAUGGCGGCGGCGGCUCAGUGCUUGCCGUCGUCGGCGGGGGCGGCGGAGGCGAGGCGGGAGGCGAUGGCGGAGUGGUACAUGCAGUCGUGGAAGCUCUCCGUCUCCAUCAUCCGUGCGCGCAGCUGCCGCGCCUUCUCCUCCGUCAGCACGCCGAACCUCUUCCCGCCGCCGCCACGCUGCUCCGCCGCCGCCAUCGGAUUCGGCCGCGCCUCCUCCCGCGCCGCCGGCUGCGCGUCG